ACUCAAAUGAAUUGACGGGGGCCCGCACAAGCGGUGGAGCAUGUGGUUUAAUUCGACGCAACGCGAAGAACCUUACCGGGGCUUGACAUCCUGCGCUAUCCUAGGAGACUAGGUUUCCGGGCAACCGGACGCAGAGACAGGUGCUGCAUGGCUGUCGUCAGCUCGUGCCGUGAGGUGUUGGGUUAAGUCCCGCAACGAGCGCAACCCUCGCCGUGUGUUGGUCGAAAGAUCUCUCACGCGGGACCGCCGGUGACAAGCCGGAGGAAGGUGGGGAUGACGUCAAGUCAGCAUGGCCCUUACGUCCCGGGCUACACACGUGCUACAAUGGAAGGGACAACGAGUCGCUAACCCGCGAGGGCAAGCUAAUCUCCUAAACCCUUUCUCAGUUCGGAUUGAAGGCUGCAACUCGCCUUCAUGAAGUCGGAAUCGCUAGUAACCGUAGAUCAGCUACGCUGCGGUGAAUACGUUCCCGGGCCUUGUACACACCGCCCGU
rnacentral:rRNA from 1 species